rnacentral:rRNA from 1 species
GGCGUAAAGAGCGUUGAGCCGGUUCCGUAAGUUGGGCGUGAAAGCUCCGGGCUUAACUCGGAGAUGUCGUUCAAUACUGCGGGGCUUGAGGACAGCAGAGGAAGGUGGAAUUCCCGGUGUAGUGGUGAAAUGCGUAGAUAUCGGGAGGAACACCCGUGGCGAAGGCGGCCUUCUGGGCUGUUCCUGACGCUGAAGGCGAAAGCUAGGGGAGCGAACGGGAUUAGAUACCCCGGUAGUCCUAGCUGUAAACGAUGGAUGCUGGGUGUGGGGGGUGUAAAUUCCCUCUGUGCCGAAGCAAACGCGUUAAGCAUCCCGCCUGGGGACUACGGCCGCAAGGCUAAAACUCAAACGAAUUGACGGGGGCCCGCACAAGCAGCGGAACGUGUGGUUUAAUUCGAUGCUACACGAGGAACCUUACCUGGGUUUGACAUGCACGUGGUAGGGAACCGAAAGGGGACCGACCUUCGGGAGCGUGCACAGGUGCUGCAUGGCUGUCGUCAGCUCGUGCCGUGAGGUGUCGGGUUAAGUCCCGUAACGAGCGCAACCCUUGCCCUUAGUUACAAGUGUCUAAGGGGACUGCCCGGGACAACUGGGAGGAAGGUGGGGAUGACGUCAAGUCAGCAUGGCCUUUAUAUCCAGGGCUACACACACGCUACAAUGGCCGGUACAAUAGGUUGCGAAGUCGUGAGNCGGAGCCAAUCCUCAAAGCCGGUCUCAGUUCGAAUUGCAGUCUGCAACUCGACUGCAUGAAGCUGGAGUUGCUAGUAAUCGCAGGUCAGCUAUACUGCGGUGAAUACGUUCCCGGGCAUUG